UACGUAGGUGGCAAGCGUUGUCCGGAAUUAUUGGGCGUAAAGCGCGCGCAGGCGGCCUUUUAAGUCUGAUGUGAAAUCUUGCGGCUCAACCGCAAGCGGCCAUUGGAAACUGGGAGGCUUGAGUACAGAAGAGGAGAGUGGAAUUCCACGUGUAGCGGUGAAAUGCGUAGAUAUGUGGAGGAACACCAGUGGCGAAGGCGACUCUCUGGUCUGUAACUGACGCUGAGGCGCGAAAGCGUGGGGAGCAAACGGG
rnacentral:rRNA from 1 species